rnacentral:rRNA from 1 species
GACGAACGCUGGCGGCGUGCUUAACACAUGCAAGUCGAACGGAAAGGCCCUGCUUUUGUGGGGUGCUCGUGUGGCGAACGGGUGAGUAACACGUGAGUAACCUGCCCUUGACUUUGGGAUAACUUCAGGAAACUGGGGCUAAUACCGGAUAGGAGCUCCUGCUGCAUGUUGGGGGUUGGAAAGUUUCGGCGGUUGGGGAUGGACUCGCAGCUUAUCAGCUUGUUGGUGUGGUAGUGGCUUACCAAGGCUUUGACGGGUAGCCGGCCUGAGAGGGUGACCGGCCACAUUAGGACUGAGGUACGGCGCAGACUCCUACGGGAGGCAGCAGUGGGGAGUAUGGCGCAGUGGGCGGAAGCCUGAUGCAGCGACGCCGCGUGCGGAAUGACGGGCUUCGGGUUGUGAACCGCUGUCGCCUGUGACGAAGCGUGAGUGACGGUAAUGGGUAAAGAAGCACCGGCUAACUACGUG